rnacentral:rRNA from 1 species
GGACCUGCCCUGAGUUUUAAACGGCACGGUACUCUGACCGUGCAAAGGUAGCAUAAUCACUUGCCUUAUAAUUGAAGGCUGGAAUGAAUGGUUUGACAAGAAUACACCUGUCUCUUUAUAACUUUCUAGAAUUUUAUCUUUGGAUGAAAAAGUCCAAAUAUAAUUAAAAGACAAGAAGACCCUAUCGAGCUUUAGAAGAAUUAGUGGAUUUGAUAACAAUCAAUAGAAAUAAAAGAAGAGCAUUAAGUAUCUUUGGUUGGGGCAACUAAGGAGUAGACAAAGCCUCCUUUAAACUUUAAGUCGUACCUGUGUUGAUCCAAAAUUAUUGAUCAAAGGAAUUAGUUACCGUAGGGAUAACAGCAAGAUCUUUUUUGAGAGCCCAUAUCGAAAAAAAGGUUUGUGACCUCGAUGUUGGACCAGAAUAUCCUAAAGAUGCAGAAGUCUUUAAGGGUUGGUCUGUUC